AACGCACGGGCAUUUGUACUAGUAAUUCACAAAUCCAAAUCUGCUAAUUGUUCUCUAAUAGCACCUGCCCCUGUUGCAAUUUCCCGAUUUCGAAAUGUUGCAAAGCCUGGGGUAGAAAAAAAGGGAGAAAUGUUGUGGUUACAGGAUGCAAUUUCCUCUUGGAAUAAACCUCGUAAUCGUAAAAAAGUGGGUUUUUUAGUGUUGGGCCUAGCAAAAGAGAAAUCGCCGUAUACUAGGCCCUCCAACUUCUUAAGAGGUUUAUCUAAAAGAUUCGCGAUAUAA
rnacentral:rRNA from 1 species